AUACGGAGGGGGUUAGCGUUACUCGGAAUCACUGGGCGUAAAGCGCACGUAGGCGGACUGGAAAGUUGGGGGUGAAAUCCCGGGGCUCAACCCCGGAACUGCCACCAAAACUUCCAAUCUAGAGAUCGAGAGAGGUGAGUGGAAUUCCAAGUGUAGAGGUGAAAUUCGUAGAUAUUUGGAGGAACACCAGUGGCGAAGGCGGCUCACUGGCUCGAUACUGACGCUGAGGUGCGAAAGCGUGGGGAGCAAACAGGAUUAGAUACCCCAGUAGUCC
rnacentral:rRNA from 1 species